UACUACAACAACAAAACCAAUGAAAACAUACAAAAAUAUCCAACCAUUUAUAAGUCAUUUCCCACACUUGAAUUACCAACAUGGUUUUCAAUCAUUAUCUCUUCUAAAGUUAGUUUUUCAAUCAUGGUUUGAACAGAAGCAGAGAGAAAUACACCUCCAGUCAAAGUUGCAUCCAUCUUUUCCGUUGUUGAUGUAUUUUUGA